ensembl:lncRNA
GUGAUAAAAAGUAAGUGGAAGGAUACAAAAAAAACAACAAACUAUUUUCACCUUUUAAAUAUAAAUGGCUUUCUGAUGGGCCCAGGACUGUAAUGACUGUAAUGAAAGGCCUGGGAUGUCCUUUUCUCUAUAGUUCGUGUUUUCCCAUGCUGCAGUGGCACUUUUAAUUAAAACAGCUAAACUGGGAUCUCUUUGCGAAACUAAUUUAGCUUUUUGCAUUAUUUUUUUAAAACUAAAAGGGGAUAGCUGCAGGUGAAGGGUCUGAAAAAAACACUACACUGUGUUCCAGUUGGAAACCUUAAGAAUGGAGAACCUUAAUUUAAAAAAUAAUAGAAGUUUUCAUUAUCUGUCUUCCUCUUUCUUCAUCUUUGUUCUGCCCCUCUCCAAGCUGUUUCUUAGAGCAGGUAGAUGUUCAGUUACGUAUUCAGAGCCAGACAAACACAACCAAUAUUCUGUUCCUAAACACAGCACUGGUGGGGCUUUUGAGUACAAUGCCUGAACAGCAGUGGCCAAUUCUUUGGUGGGAAAGUGUUUUUCUCCAGUGGCUUCAGGGAGUCUAUCUUUGCCCACAGACCUUGCCAGCAUAACGAAUGGGGAUAAUUAGAAUGCACAAAUUUCCAUGCCUUUUUUUGCUCACUUGAAAACACUUUGAUAUGAGGCACUUGUUUACAGAUCUCCAAUGUGAACGCUCGAAGAGCAGGUGGCGAGAGCCUGGUGUCAUUCCCAUGAUACAUAAGCUACUGUUUCAAUGCACACUAAGGGUUAAUGUCACAACUGCCUACUGGUCCAGUUCACUGUCUAACCUGAAAUCUCUGAAUGACAAAAAGAUGAGGGGCCCCCAUUUAGCACUAGCAGCAUAUUGACUUCAGAUCAUACACACUCUGCCACAAAACUGUAUGAUGCUAAUUGGAAGCUACCUUUAAACGCCAAGCGCCUGCAGGGCUCCCACUGACACCUCUGCAGCACCAGGGCUGCCUCACUCCCUCCUCUUCCUCGGGAGGGAAGGGAGCCAGGGCAAGCCGUGGUGUCUCCCGCCUGCCCCUGCCCGAGUCCUCCUGCGUGCUGGUGUGUGGGUGAGCUGUCUGCUGCUUUUCCAUAGUCACAUUGGGAAGGGGAGAACUCAGUGGCUGGCAACGUUUGUUUUGUUUUGUAACUUUUUUUAAUCAUGGGUGAUAUUUAUAUUUUUGUAUCAUAAGAAUGUUUUCUUACAGUAUUUGUCAUGCCAGUUUAUAACAAACAAGAUGCAGGGAUUUUAUUUCUAUUGGAAAACACUAUUACAGUUAUGUUGUUACUGUUUAAUGGAUUUUUAUUUGUAUAGAGUGCUUACUAAUGUUAAAUAGGAAAGAGUAUAUAACAUUUACAUUAAGGACUCGUUGUAGCUUUUCGUGUAAGGAGUUAAAAGGAAAAAAUAUCCGAACUGGGUCUCAUUGCCUGCCUGUUUUGGUAGGAGUGGGUUUGUGUCAUUUCAGUUACAAAGAUAAAAUUAUGCCAUAUAAUUUAUUUAUAUGAAAAUUUAUUUUUGUAGUGUACAUAGUAGUCAUCAAGUCUUUUGACAGAAGUAUAUUUUUAAAGAGUUUAUAUGUAAUGAUGAUACCAUUAUGUUUUGGAACACUGCUGAGAUACAAUUAUGGUGCACACUUUUCCUUGUAAACCCCCUGGCAGAAAAGAAAGUGUUUAACAGUGUUAAGAGAGAAAGAGAGUGUGAAUAACCAUACAAUUCUGAACUGUGUUUUAGUUACCAUUUGUGAUCUAGUGUGGUUCUCAUUUUAAGCUUUGAAUGGAAAUUGUACAAACUCUCUAAAUAUUAAUGUUCAAACACUGAUAGAAAUUCUAACAUGAAUAAAAAAAUAUUAUAAC